UAUGUAGGGGGCAAGCGUUGUCCGGAUUUAUUGGGCGUAAAGAGCGUGUAGGCGGCUAGAUAGGUCCGUUGUGAAAACUCGAGGCUCAACCUCGAGACGUCGAUGGAAACCAUCUGGCUAGAGUCCGGAAGAGGAGAGUGGAAUUCCUGGUGUAGCGGUGAAAUGCGUAGAGAUCAUGAGGAAGACCAGUGGCGAAGGCGGGUCUCUGGACAGUUCCUGACACUGAGGCACGAAGGCCAGGGGAGCAAACGGG
rnacentral:rRNA from 1 species